ensembl:lncRNA
GGAGAGAAAGAGCGGUGGGGUGAGAUAAAUAGAGGAAGUGGAGAGAGAGAAAACUAUUGAGUUAGAAAGAGCAAGAGAGAAGAGAGAUGGGCAGUUUAACCCACAAUGCAUUGUGGUACGUUGUGACUCGGUUAAAGUGUUGUCACUCAGCCCCAGUGUCACGUCAGCUUUCUACAGACAUACAGCUGUCAGCAUCUCCACUCUUCCUUUUAUGUGAGUGUUUAUGAGUGUGAAUGAUUGAGGUUGAGAUGGUGACAUUUUGAAAUCGUUUGCAACUAUUUCUCUGCAACCUGCCUGAAUAUUAUAGCACACUGCAAAGCCAACUGAAAUAUCUCUUUACACAGGGUGUUUCCAUUCACUUUCAUAUAAUCUCCCUAGAUAAGGCCAAAGUUAAGAGAUAUGCUACUGCAUACACAGUGUGGAGUCAGCUAGGGACACUAUGCCCUCUGUUUCCUAAGUCUGUGACUGUUAGAAUCGCACCUGCUUCUCCUAUCUGCGUCAGAGUCGAGAGAGAGCCAUAGAAAAUGGCGCGCUGAGGGACAACUUUAUCUUCACGCACCAGCAAGGCAGUUAUUGCUGUAAGAUGAAUGAUAUGCUUUUUUUUAUGUAGUCUUUGAGAAUGUUUCUUAAAUUCUUUGAGAAUGUUUUUAAAUGGUUUCCACUAGUUUAGCAAUUGAAGUUUGCGUGAUUAUAAUUGUUUUACUCCCAAGUUUUUGUCUCGUAGUUUGACUUCAUCAGUCUCUUCACAUUUACCAUUGAUUAACUUUGUUGACAAGCAAACCGAAUCCCUCAAGGCUGCAUUCAAAAGGGGUGUUACCACACAGAAACGAAUGAGGAACUAUUUUAGUCUCAGCAGUUAUAUCUCAUCUUCAUUCUGCUGUCUCAUAACAUCACAACGACAAAAUGUUGUGAAAUGGCUGACGUUGAAUGUAGCUCUCUGAGCUUCCAGCCUGUCAGCGAUGCUGUGUGCCAUGCUAUAUAUUUUUGGGUGAUGCUCUGUAAUGGUGGUGUAAUGUGUGUGUGUGUGUGUGUUUGUGUGUGAUAGAUGGGCCAUCAGGGCUUAUAAAGGGUCUGGGACAUUUCAGCCAGUUCACAUCAGCGAGCCAGUGUAAUUUACAGAAGGCUGGGAAAUAGCAGGGCGCUGAGCAGAGGGGGAGACACUCAAUGUUUUCACCACAGGAGGAAGAGGGAGAGAGAGAAAGAAAAAAAGAAAGAGAGAAAUAAAGAAAUAAAAAGAGAAUGAGAGAGAGGUAACAUUAAAAGUUUUAGCCUGCUGUCUCUCAUAAAGAAAGAGAGAAAGAGGGAAAGACAGAGAGUAGUUGGAUAAGAUGAAAUUGCAUUCGAUUUGAAAAAUGCAUAAACCAGUACGUUUUCAUCUCAUUUCAACCAGCAUUGUAAACAUUGAAGUUAGGGUAAAACCUCACGUUAAAUACAUUGACUUAACCUGAUUUAACAUGUUGUUACAUCAAUCAAAUUUCAACAUAAUCAUCAGAACUAUGUAUACGUUGAAACUGUGUAGAAACGUAAAUGAUCCUUUUCAUCCUAUAUUCAGUGCCUUCAGAAAGUAUCCACACCCCUUAACUUCUUCCAAAUGUUGUUGUGUUACAGCCUGAAUUUAAAAUGGACAACAUUUAGAUUUUGUGUCACUGGUCUACACACAAUAGCCCAUCAUGUCAAAGUGGAAUUAUGUUUUUAAUUUUUUUAAAUUGACAAAUUAAUAAAAAAUGUAAAGCUGAAAUGUCUUGUCAAUAAGUAUUAAACCCCUUUCUUUUGGAAAGCCUAAAUAAGUUCAGUAAUGCAAUGUUGCAUAACAAGCCACAUAAUAAGUUGCAUGGACUCACUCUGUGUGCAAUAAUAGGGUUUAACAUGAUCUUUUUUAUGACUACCUCAUCUCUGUUCCCCACACAUAAGGUCCCUCAGUCCAGCAGUGAAUUUCAAACAGAGAUUCAACCACAAAGACCAGGGAGGCUUUCCAAUGCAUCGCAAAGAAGGUCACCUACAGUAUUGAUCAAUUUUAAAACAAUUUUAAAACAUACAUUGUAUUUAUAUACAAUACCAGUCAAAAGUUUUGAAACACCUACUCAUUCAAAGGUGUUUCUUUAUGUUUGACUAUUUUCUACAUUGUAGAAUAAUAGUGAAGACAUCCACACUAUGAAAUAACACAUAUGGAAUCAUGUAGUAACCAAAAAAGUGUUAAAGAAAUUAAAAUAUUUUAUAUUUGAGAUACUUUCAAGUAGCCACCCUUUGCCUCUAUGACAGCUUUGCACACUCUUGGCAUUAUCCACAAUCUAAAUGUGUUUAUUCAACUUUCUUGUUAUUUUUCUGUUUGAUGGAAACAGUAUGAGAGUUUUAACUACAUUCCAUCUGUAGUCAAUUGUUUUAUGUAGUUGCUUUUUCAUGUUUUGAAUGUUGUAUUGUAGUAACCCUCAAGCUUUUUUUUCUCCAUAGUGUAAGGACUAUUUCAUCACGCAGAAUGUUUAUACUUAAAAAUAUGUAACUUUGUGCAGCAUCUAUAAUCGAAAUGUGUUUAUCCAACUUUCUUGUUGUUUUUCUGUUUGACUUUGUAUGGGCAUUUAUUUGACUUAUAUUGUGGUUGAUACGCAACAACAAAAAAUACUUCAUAAUAAGAUAAUACAUCAGUUAUCUACCGACAACAAAUUUGGCUAGACAGCAAAUAAACUUUAAACACCAUUUUUCUCAGUUUCAAUGUUUGCGUAGUAACUUAAGUUACUGCUUGAUUGCCUUGGUUUUUACUCAGAUUAUAUGGUUACUGCACUUUUAACACUCAAUUUUCUCUGAAACAGAACAGAAUUGAACCAGGACACUUCAUCACAAGAUAAAACACAUAAUACAAAGCCUGAUUUCAGUCUUAACUCAAUUUUCACCAAAAGUCUAGUUACUAUAUUUUGCCUUUGUAGGGCAGUAUAGUCUACACAUGUUUUAUGCAUGUCGUUUGUGGUUAUUGUCGGCCACUAAAGGUGGUCUGCACUACGGCCAGAGGUUCCGUGUGUAACAACGCAAAGUGGGAGAUCUCUAAUCAAUGCAAAAUGGAAUUAAAAUGGCGUAAUUACGUUAGCUAAAUGAGAAGGAGUAAGCUACAAUGAGCAACCAACAGGCAGGCUGUUGUUUAAACUGAAUAGAGUUGUUGUAACAUUAGACAAGGACGGAGAGCGCAGCAGAAUAGCCCCAUCUACCCUAGCUAGCUAGCUAGCUAACAUUGGCGGAUGUGGUUGAUUAAGACGUAGCCCAUGAAACAAAAAACACAUAUCUCUAGCUUAAACAGACAGUUUUAUAUUGGAAUGCUAAUACCCUUUCCAAGGGGGUGCGGACAUCGACUCUAGGGUUUUAAAUGUAGAGAAAUAUCCUCUGUGGUUAUGACAUAGAGAAGGGAUUGAGGACUGAGAGGAAAUGUCCGCAAUCGAAAUGGAGAAAUAAAGAGAUAAAUGGAGUGAGUACAAAAUACUGGCGCGAUGCAUCAAUCACCCUGCACCUCUAUUACAGGUCAAAGCAUACUAUUCCUCCAAUCUGGGUCAGAGUGACCUGGCCUGCAUUGACCAAUAGGCUUUCAACGGACCCAUAUGGGGCCCCAGUUUCUCAUCUAGAACAGA